rnacentral:sRNA from 1 species
UCUCCAAUGAUGAACUACUCGAGAUACUUGCACAGACUCGAAACCCAUUGGCUGUGCAACCACACUUACGUAAAUGUUUUGAUGCUAUACACAGACUAGAGUUUGCUGUGGUUGAGGGACUUCCACCUGAGGAAGAGAUUCAAUUUACAAAUGACAUAUUAAGCAUGAUAUCACCAGAAGGAGAGAAAAUUGGAUUGGGCAAAGGCUUGAAGGCAAGAGGUAAUGUCGAAGAUUGGCUCGGAAAAGUGGAAGAAGCCAUGUUCGCCAGUAUACGACGAUUGUGCAAAAAGUCAAUCAAAGACUAUGAGACAAUGUCAUUUCUUUCUUGGAUUAUGUCAAAUGCUUCACAAGUAAGUACAAAACUUUCGUAUGUCGUUAACUUC